ensembl:misc_RNA
UUGACAGCCCUGGAAAAUGAAGUCCUCUGUUUAUUCACAGAAAAAGUGGUAGUGUCAGCUGCCUCUACACAUUGUUACCCUGCCUCCUGCAGAUGUCUCAAACUCCUGUUCUGAGGAGAUUACGUCUACGGAGAUGGGUUCAGUCUCUGCCUUCCUGCAAAAACUGCCCAAA